rnacentral:ncRNA from 1 species
UUAUUCCGUGGGUCGGAAGCGGGGCUGUUUUAUCGGGCCGAUCCGGGAGAAAUACAUUGUCAGGUGGGCAGUUUGGUUGGGGCAGCACAUCUGUUAAAAGAUAACGCAGGGGUCCUAAGAUGAGCUCAACAAGAACACAAAUCUCAUGUGGAACAAAAGGGUAAAAGAUCGUUUGGUUCUGAAUUCCAGUAUGAAUAAGAACCAUGGAAGCAUGGCCUAUCGAUCCUUUAGAUCUUCGGAGUUUGAAGCUAGAGGUG